UGAACCAAUUUUGACUGCCUUUAAUCAGUUGCUAUGGUUCCUCGUUCGAUGAAUGGCCUUAAUAAUAGGCACUCCAAUCCAGAUAGCCAACUUUCCCUGGGCCACUUCGAUCUAUGACAUUCUUUCGUUUAAACCAAUAAGAAUUUUUGGCACCCAUCAUAUUAUUAGAAGUCCCGUGCUUUCUAUUCUCUUCUCAAAUCCUUCUGGCAAGCAAUCCUUCUUUUCUCCAAUGUUCUUUUCUUUCCUCACAACCCUAAUGAAUUGAUGCCUGAUGCUUCAAGCGCCAUUGCAAUCUCCUUUAUCUAUAAAGAGGUGAAGUUGGCCAUACUUCCAAAACAUUUGUAAACAACUGAAUUGGGUUUUUUUUUAGUCCAGCCACUUGAAACACUCUUGUUCAUCAAUUGCCGAUUUCUUUCCCCUCCAUGCUUUAUCUUCAGAGGCCCUAUUGCUCAGUGAAAAAGGGCCGAUAUGCCAUGCCUUUCAGCAUACACGGCUUCGAGCUCAUAGAAACUGUUGAAAACCACGACAAAAGCUUCUUAACUCUGAUCUUUGCAUGCUUUCAGCAUCUUGGUGAGAUCUGUUUCAACGUUUUCUUUCACAUGAUCUGGCAUUCAGCUGGAUUUUUGUGAAUUUGAUAUCGCCUGGAAGGUUAGGCACCAUAAAUUGUUAAGAUUCAGGCUCGAGUUUCUUGUGCGGCUAGUAGAGUGUCAUACACUCCGUUGCGCAGGAUGGGAAGAAACUAAUUCCAGAAAACACCAACCUGGGGAUCCCGAAUACAUCCGCUGCAUAAGUAACCAAAGGAAAGAAUAUAUUAGCAACCAAGCAAUCGGGUUUACAUUCUUUUAGCAGCUGCUCCAGGGUUACUGAAGCAUGACUUUGGCCUCGAAAAUUUUGCUUACAUUGUCCUCCUUCCCAUCUUGGGAAGUAGAGAGCAAGUCUGCAUAUUCACAGCCGUUGGGCAAGCCACCCUCCACGCUAGGAGACUUUAUCAAGUAGCCUAGAGCCAUGAAUGGAAAGAAGCAGAGAUAAAUUUCACUCUCCUUAUUCCUUGGGAGCAGACUUCAGUCAAACAGCAGCAGAGACAAAUUUAAAAUGCCUGAGAAACUGAAGAAACAAAAAAGAUGCCAAGGUUUAGAAAUAUCAGUGGUUGUUUGAAUUCGAAUUUUGCAUAGAAUUAAUAAUGAAAUUCAAGGAAAUUCUAUUUACUACCAUAUUUUAGGGUUGUGAUCCAUGAAUCUCCUAUGUUUCUACAAAACAUAAUGAGAAACUAUAUCAAUCAUAAAUUAAAUGAUUUGCUUUUAAGAUCAUUAAGAGGUAAAAUUAAUCCUUUGCAUGCAUUGCGCACUGUCACAAGCUAAUAGCGAAGUAUUUUCUAUUUACUACCAUAUUUUUUAAGGAUUGAGAUCCAUGAAUCCAAUCCAUGAAUCUCCUAUGUUUCUACAAAACAUAAUGAGAAACUAUAUCAAUCAAAAACAUUUUCAGAUUUUUACUAGAUUGGCACCAGCCACCAGUCUGUUUGUCAAGAUAAAUGCAUUGUACGAAGAUUACAGACGGGCUGUUGAUUUUCUUUGGAGGGAAAAGACAGGCUGUUUGUUAUUACUGCUGAAUAGUGAGAGUCAACUACCAGUAAAUGCUUGGUCAAAUUGAAUUGGAAUAUAUGGAAGUAAAAAAUCAUCCAACAUGUACAUAAUCACGAUCUAAGUUUUGAAGCGCACUACUUUUGCAUUAGUGCCAUAAUAAUGUAGGUAAACUCUUUCUUCAAUCUUGACCAUGAAUUGUAAUAUGAUUAAAUUAUUACUAAAUUUAUCUUAUUAUUAUCUAAGGCAAUAAUAAGAUUCAUAGCAAUAAGAAAAUAUUGAUUUUUCCCAGUUCACAGUCCCCAAAACAUGCAUUAAGUUCAAGGAACACCAAAUGACAUAAAAAAUAUGAAAUAUGAUUUUUCCUUCUGGCUGUUGAUUCAAUGACGACGCAAGCUCAGUUCUUCAAUCAGAGCAUUCAAAUCAGAGUGAGAUGACCCUCCUUUCUCACCAGCCCUUUUGGCAGCUUUUGCCAGUGCCUUUGCAGUGUUUCUCAUUUCUUCUGCUUUAUCACCAUUCAUGAUGUCCUUCACCGCCUUUUCUAUUGCUUCUCUCUUCACAAAAUCUCCGAUCGUUCUCACCCAUUGUUGAACACCAACGGCCACUCCAAUCUUUAGGACUUGCGUCACCAACUUUUCGUUGUAGAACUGCUCUGCGGACACCGGCCAGGUGACCAUAGGCACGCCAGCAGACACGCCUUCCAAGGUUGAAUUCCAUCCGCAAUGAGUCACAAAUCCACCAACUGCUUCAUGAUCAAGAAUCAAAACUUGCGGUGCCCAUCCUCUUAUUAUCAGUCCCUUGCCUUCCAUUCUCUUCUCAAAUCCUUCUGGCAACCAAUCCUCCUCUUCUUCAUUGUUCUUUUGUUUCCUCACAACCCAAAUGAAUUGAUGCUCUGACGCUUCAAGCGCCAUGGCAAUCUCCUUUAAUUGUGCUGAGGUGAAGUUGGCCAUACUUCCAAAACAUAUGUAAACAACUGAAUUGGGUUUUUUGGAGUCAAGCCACUUCAAACACUCGUGUUCAUCAAUUGCUGAUUUCU
rnacentral:lncRNA from 1 species